CAGAAAUCUGGAUUUGUGUGGAUUUGUGUCUGAAUGUAUGUGGCAUCUCAUCUUUAAAAUGUUGACAAGGAGGAGUUCCCAUCAUGGUGCAGUGGUUCAUGAAUCCGACUAGGAACCAUGAGAGGAACUCCCUGGACUACUAAUUCUUGAUUUCUCACUUAGCUGGGCAUUAAGGAGGAAACAGAAGCCAGGAGCUUCUAGGCAGAGAACAGUGUUGUCACAACAGAGAACAAAAGAGGAAAUAA